GGUGGGUUGGCUCAGUGGUUAGAACUUAGGUCUCGAAACCGGAAGGUCCCGGGGUCGAAUCUCGCUAGAGACUG
rnacentral:tRNA from 1 species